rnacentral:rRNA from 1 species
CCUACGGGUGGCAGCAGUCGAGAAUCAUGCACAAUGGGGGAAACCCUGAUGGCGCGACGCCGCGUGGGGGAAUGAAGGUCUUCGGAUUGUAAACCCCUGUCAUGUGGGAGCAAAUUAAAAAGAUAGUACCACAAGAGGAAGAGACGGCUAACUCUGUGCCCGCAGCCGCGGUAAUACAGAGGUCUCAAGCGUUGUUCGGAAUCACUGGGCGUAAAGCGUGCGUAGGCUGUUUCGUAAGUCGUGUGUGAAAGGCGCGGGCUCAACCCGCGGACGGCACCUGAUACUGCGGGACUAGAGUACUGGAGAGGGAACCGGAAUUCUCGGUGUAGCAGUGAAAUGCGUAGAUAUCGAGAGGAACACUCGUGGCGAAGGCGGGUUCCUGGACAUUAACUGACGCUGAGGCACGAAGGCCAGGGGAGCGAAAGGGAUUAGAUACCCCAGUAGUC